CAGCAGCGCGGUAAUACGAAGGGGGCUAGCGUUGCUCGGAAUGACUGGGCGUAAAGGGCGCGUAGGCGGCGAUCAAAGUCAGGCGUGAAAUUCCUGGGCUCAACCUGGGGGCCGCGUUUGAUACUUGAUUGCUAGAGUGGGGAAGAGGGUCGUGGAAUUCCCAGUGUAGAGGUGAAAUUCGUAGAUAUUGGGAAGAACACCGGUGGCGAAGGCGGCGACCUGGUCCUUGACUGACGCUGAGGCGCGAAAGCGUGGGGAGCAAACAGGAUUAGAUACCCCAGUAGUCCCUGUCUCUUAUACA
rnacentral:rRNA from 1 species